GCCGGGUGUUGUGGUGCACACCUAUAGUCCCAGCUACUCAGGAGGCCGAGGUGGGAGGAUCACUUGAGCCCUGGAGUUCGAGGCUGCAGUGAGCUGUGAUUGCGCCACUGCACUUUAGCCUGGGUGACAGAGUGAGAUCCUGUCUCAA
ensembl:misc_RNA Metazoa_SRP Metazoan signal recognition particle RNA